rnacentral:rRNA from 1 species
UACAGAGGGCGCAAGCGUUGCUCGGAUUCAUUGGGCGUAAAGGGUGCGUAGGCGGCGCGGUAAGUCGGGUGUGAAAUCUUGGAGCUUAACUCCGAAACUGCAUUCGAUACUGCCGUGCUUGAGGACUGGAGAGGAGACUGGAAUUUACGGUGUAGCGGUGAAAUGCGUAGAUAUCGUAAGGAAGACCAGUGGCGAAGGCGGGUCUCUGGACAGUUCCUGACGCUGAGGCACGAAGGCCAGGGGAGCAAACGGG